rnacentral:lncRNA from 1 species
CCGUGGACUAAGAUCUCUGAAACUGUGAGCCCUCAAAUAAACUUUUCCUCAUCUAAAAUCCUUCUUGUCAGGUCUUUUAAUCAUGACAGUGAAAAGGCUGACUAACUCACACAUGUCUCUCCUUGUUUUUCCUAUCAGAGUGUUUACAUUAGAGGUUGUUUUCUGCUGAGUCACUUCAGGAUUAGGGUUCUUUCCUUUUAUAAAUUUUCUUUUUUAAUAGAGCUUCAUGGUUAUAUAUAGUAGUGGGUUCAUCCUGACAAACUCAUAUAUAUAUGGAAGUCCAUUUCAGUUCAAGAUCCCCCAUUUUCCCUCCCUUUUUCCCUCCCAUCCUCCCCCUUUCUCCUUCCUCUACUAGACUUCCUUUCACUCAUCGUUAAUUUGCAUUUGGUUCCCUAUGUAAUCUUAUCCUUCCUUCCUCCUUUCUUUUAUUUUACCCUCAUUUCCACAUAUGAGAGAAAAUAUUUGACUCUGAGUUUCUGAGUUUGGUGAAUGUCACUUAGCAUGAUUUUCUCCAUUUCCAACUAUUUCCUUAUCAAUUGUCCUCCUUCCUUGGAUUAGUAAUUGCCUCAUUUUAUUAUUUGGUUCAUCUCUGUGUGGGGGUUGUAUACUUAUAUAUAAUAUUUAAUAUAGAGAGAUAAUUAUGAUUAUUUAUUAUGUGUACUCAUUUAUGAUAUUAACAUAGACAACACCCAAAUAAAUAUAUACCAGCUGCUUCAUCAGUUUUAGUGCCUACAAAUAUUAUGUUCUCAAUAUUCAAAUGAAUGGGUUAAUCUGGCUUUUUUUUUUUAAUACACUCCUCUGAAAAACCUCUAAUUACUCACCUCCUCUUUUGUUCUGUUUUACAGCGUCAUCCCAGGACUGCUCUUCACCAUGGUGCUGGGAAAACCCUUUCCCAUUUUGCCCUCUUGGAAAUCCUGUUUUCUGGACCACAAGCCUCUUUUUUCUUGGUUUAUUCCCUUCUUUCCUUGGAUCUCACACUCUAGUGGGCCUAAGAAGGGGGAUUGAGGGUAAAUUGCUUGAUUCUUACUGUUAUAGUUAAAGCUUCAUCCCCGGGUUUCAUAAAUUGACUUCCAGACCACUCACGUAUAAUUGAAUCAAGCCUUUAUUGAAGCACACCGGUGGCGGCUGACCAGAACAUAAAGCUGUUCCCCUGAUCAGCCCCGAACAAUUGCAAGGGCGCUCUUUAUAAGUCUGAAAACCACAAAAGGGAUGUUCGGGGGGUCUAGCCAAUGCAAGCAAGCCAGGUUACAGAAGCAGGACAGUGCAGUCAAGCGGAGGGAAGCCUAACCAAUCACAGUUAGCCCAGUCACCCCAGUUACAGAAACAAUGCUCCAUUAGGUAGUUCCGUGUUCUUAAAGGUUUCUAUAGCAAAAGGAAAAGAACAUCUUGCUCCAGUCAUGACUCUUCUACUUGGCAUGGUUGUUUUACAGGAUGAAGUCACAAAACAAAAUGGAGUCACAUUUGCUCCUACUAUCACAUUACAAGUCUCAUCAUAACAGACUCUACUUUUUUACAUAGCUGAGAAAAAUCACCUGGGAAAAAUCUUCCCUCAGCAUUUUUAAGGAAUUAUUCUAUCAUUUUCUAGCUUUCAGUGCUAUUGUUGAAACAUCCAAUGUUAUUUUAAUUUCUGAUUUUUUUUUUUUUGGUGGUGGUGCUGAGGUUUGAACCCAGGGCCUCAUGCAUUCCAGGCAAAUGUUCUACCAUUGAGCCACAUCCCCAGUCCCACAGAUUCUUUUUUUCCCUCUGUAUUUAUUGCCCCCAAAUGAUGACCUUUUGUUUAAUGUAUUAAAUCUUUUCUUCUGCACAAUCAUGUCCUUAAAUUCUGAGAAUAUUUUUGAAUAGCUUAUCUGAUUAAUUUCCACUCCUGAAUUAUUGUAAUUGUGGGCUGGAACUCUUAAUUUUUAAAUAAUUUUUUUAUUGAUUUACAUCUAUUCAUUUUCUUUUAUAAAUUUUAAUUUCUUCUACUUUACUUCCCACUUCUUCCACUAAAAUUUUGCACCUCAUUUUUUUAUGUCAAAGUUCUACAAUUUUUUUCUUGCUCAUUGCAUUCUUGCUGGUUUUAGAAGUAAUAUCUUCUGUUAAUGAUAAUAUUUUAAGACUUAUUUUCUGGUUCCUGCUUUGUUUUAAUUGUGUUUCCUGAUUUGUUUUGGCCUCUCUUUUUUAUAUUACCAGCCAUCCUCAAAGAUCUGAGUGGAUAGUGCUCUCCAUUCCCAUUUGCAUGCAUCAAAGUGCAUUAAUGAUUACGGUGAUUUGUCGUCUUCUGUUUGUGUGUCUGGGUAAGUCAGGAUGUUCAUUUUCCAUUAGUAUUUUUUCAAACAGAGCCUAAGGUGGAAAAAUCAAGUAGUAUGUUUUGACCAGCAAUUUUAAAAAGAGAAGCAAAAUGAAAUAGGAAAGGGUGGAAUGGAAUUUCACAGAAUAAAAGCAAAAAUACCAACGAGGGAAUGUAAUUGUAUGCUGAUAUUCUGGAAUCAGAGUGGGCAGGAGAGUCAUUCAGUGUGCAGCUUACCUCAUCCUUCUGUUCUGGUCCUGUGCCCCACUGCUGCCUACUUUUGUCUCUGGUGGCUUUAGCUGUGUGUGUUCUGCUUUAUUUACCUGCUCAGAGAACCUCCAAGAAUAUUUAAGAUGACUCAGUUCUUUUUCUCACCUCAUCAUUGCCCAAUUCUGGGGUUUUAAACUGUUGCAAAUACAUUUUAAUGCGUAGGCAAGAUAGUAAAUCAGGUAUCUGUGACUAAUGAGGAUCCACUCUACAACUAAAAUACUGGAUGAAAUUGCACAAAAAUAGAAAAGAGGCUCAAAAUUAUGGCAUUCUGAAGUCCUUAUGUUGUUCAGGAGGAGAGUAGUAUACUAAUUUUAGUUAAGUUAAACAUGCG